GCAGCAUGGUCUUAGCUUGCUAAGGCCUUAUGGCGACCGGCGCAGCGGGUGAGUAACACGUAUCCAACCUGCCGUCUACUCUUGGACAGCCUUCUGAAAGGAAGAUUAAUACAAGAUGGCAUCAUGAGUCCGCAUGUUCACAUGAUUAAAGGUAUUCCGGUAGACGAUGGGGAUGCGUUCCAUUAGAUAGUAGGCGGGGUAACGGCCCACCUAGUCUUCGAUGGAUAGGGGUUCUGAGAGGAAGGUCCCCCACAUUGGAACUGAGACACGGUCCAAACUCCUACGGGAGGCAGCAGUGAGGAAUAUUGGUCAAUGGGCGAGAGCCUGAACCAGCCAAGUAGCGUGAAGGAUGACUGCCCUAUGGGUUGUAAACCUCUUUUAUAAAGGAAUAAAGUCGGGUAUGGAUACCCGUUUGCAUGUACUUUAUGAAUAAGGAUCGGCUAACUCCGUGCCAGCAGCCGCGGUAAUACGGAGGAUCCGAGCGUUAUCCGGAUUUAUUGGGUCUAAAGGGAGCGUAGAUGGAUGUUUAAGUCAGUUGUGAAAGUUUGCGGCUCAACCGUAAAAUUGCAGUUGAUACUGGAUAUCUUGAGUGCAGUUGAGGCAGGCGGAAUUCGUGGUGUAGCGGUGAAAUGCUUAGAUAUCACGAAGAAC
rnacentral:rRNA from 1 species